rfam:Toxocara canis scaffold1713, whole genome shotgun sequence.
GGCCGCGUGGCAAAACGGAUAACGCGUCGGUCUUCGGAACCGAAGAUUGAAGGUUCGAGUCCUGUCGUGGUCC